rnacentral:tmRNA from 1 species
GGGCUUGUACUGGUUUCGACGGGGGUUUUGAAGUUGAGGAAGCCAUCCGCAGACUCCGGGACUGCGUAUCAACCUGGAACUUAAAUAUAAACGCAAACAAUAAUAAAGUAGCGUUAGCUGCCUAAUUGCAGCUUGUCAGCCCCGGGCCGCCCGCUGUCCGGGAAUCUGGCAUCGACUUUUGCGGGGAACUUCACUUUCAAAGCUUUGAGAUUGGGGAAGAUUUUAUGAAGCUACUGAGCCUGGCAGCCUGUUAUCCGGCGGCCGGGUAAGGGAAUGUUAAAAGAAUAACUGUGAUGGGAGAUGCUUCAAGGGAUAGACUUUCGGACAGGGGUUCGAUUCCCCUCAGGUCCACUA